AACGAAUGCUGGCGGCAUGCCUAACACAUGCAAGUCGAACGAGAUCUUCGGAUCUAGUGGCGCACGGGUGCGUAACGCGUGGGAAUCUGCCCUUUGCUUCGGAAUAACAGUGAGAAAUUACUGCUAAUACCGGAUGAUGUCUUCGGACCAAAGAUUUAUCGGCAAGGGAUGAGCCCGCGUAGGAUUAGGUAGUUGGUGGGGUAAUGGCCUACCAAGCCGACGAUCCUUAGCUGGUCUGAGAGGAUGAUCAGCCACACUGGGACUGAGACACGGCCCAGACUCCUACGGGAGGCAGCAGUGGGGAAUAUUGGACAAUGGGGGAAACCCUGAUCCAGCAAUGCCGCGUGAGUGAUGAAGGCCUUAGGGUUGUAAAGCUCUUUUACCAGGGAUGAUAAUGACAGUACCUGGAGAAUAAGCUCCGGCUAACUCCGUGCCAGCCGCCGCAGUAA
rnacentral:rRNA from 1 species